UACAGAGGUCCCAAGCGUUGUUCGGAUUCACUGGGCGUAAAGGGUGCGUAGGUGGCUUGGUAAGUUUGAUGUGAAAUCUCCGGGCUUAACCCGGAAAUGGCAUUGAAUACUAUUGAGCUGGAGGUUUGGAGGGGGGACUGGAAUUCUCGGUGUAGCAGUGAAAUGCGCAGAUAUCAGGAGGAACACCGGUGGCGAAGGCGGAUCUCUGGGCCAUUACUGACGCUGAGGAGCGAAAGCGUGGGGAGCGAACAGG
rnacentral:rRNA from 1 species